ensembl:lncRNA
GCUUCCCUUCUCCGAUCUCUCUUUUCUCAGUCGAACUCUGGCAUGCUGUGGUAAGUGACUUGCGUGUCCGAUAGCAAGUUACAAGUUUUUUGUUUAAUACAUCGAUUGCAACACUUUUGCAUGGUCACCUUGCCACUGAAUACCCUGAAAUUGUGUUUCAAAUAUUGAAACAUUUUAGCGGAGGCGCUUCAGAAGAAAAUCUUAAAGACCGCCUCGAUUAAUGUGGCUGGAAUAACGCUAGCUAGUUUAUUUAUCAUUCCUAGUAACUCAAAAACAUCUGACUUUUAUAGUCCAAGUGAUCACUGUGUCUGCUGAGUAAAUAACACUCACCAAACCUAAUGUUAUUUUUGAAGGAAUUCAACACGGGUACACGUCAACCCUAUGUGUGAAUGCUAGCAUGGAGUUUAGGAAGUUAGCUUGUCUGCCUAGCAGGCCAUUAUCUGCUUGAGCUGGUUGGCGAGAGUUUUCGACGUAUGUUAACUUGGACUUCUGGAAUUGUACCAUUUGAAGUGAGACUGUGCCCUUUAUGUACUGCUCUUAGUUGGCAUUAAAUAACUUAGAUAUUGUGCAUUUCCCGCCCAGCACGUGUUCCUUUGGUCCAGCCAUGUUUAACCCGGGUGCAAGUGGAUGGAAAGUUCUAGAACAACGAAGUGGCUACAAGAUCACGGGUGUACCCAGUCCCCAAAGAGGCCUGCUUGAAGACAUGGCAGUUGCACAUCUCUGUGUUUCUGUGUGCUGAGAAUUCAUGGCUACCUCAGCUGAGAUUUGAUGCAGUCAUGUGGAUGGCUUAUUUGUGAUAAUGGUCUACUGACGAGAAUCGAAGACACCAGUGGCAUGUCGAGCCCAGUAUGUGCGGAUACAGUCACCUGGAGGGCUUAUUUGUUAUGUAAGCUAUGUUCAUUCAUCAUUAUGGAAGCUUCAGUUGGUGAUUGUGAUGACUUAAAUCUUUUUUCCCCAGCAGAUCGACCCUGUUGACUUGACUUGAACUAAGCCAAUUUUGUCUGAAUCACCAGUUAUCAAUAUAUUUGCAUGGUCAAGGGUGAUGUCUUUAUAUAUAUCUAAUGCAUACUACCUUUUUUUUUUCAAAUGUAGAAUGGUCUACUGAUAGACUUGAAGACCACCAGUGGCAUGUCGCACCCAGUAUGUGCAGAUACAGUCACCUGGAGGGCUUAUUUGUGAUGUAAGCUAUGUUCAUUCAUCAUUAUGGAAGCUUCAGUUGGUGAUUGUGAUGACUUAAAUCUUUUUUCCCCAGCAGAUCGACCCUGUUGACUUUACUUGAACUAAGCCAAUUUUGUCUGAAUCACCAGUUAACAAUAUAUUAGCAUGGUCAAGGGUGAUGUCUUUAUAUAUCUAAUGCAUACUUCUACCCUUUUUUAACAUUUAGAAUGGUCUACUGACGAGAAUCGAAGACCACCAGUGGCAUGUCGAGCCCAGUAUGUGCAGAUACAGUCACCUGGAGGGCUUAUUUGUGAUGUAAGCUAUGUUCAUUCAUCAUUAUGGAAGCUUCAGUUGGUGAUUGUGAUGACUUAAAUCUUUUUUCCCCAGCAGAUCGACCCUGUUGACUUUACUUGAACUAAGCCAAUUUUGUCUGAAUCACCAGUUAACAAUAUAUUUGCAUGAUCAAGGGUGAUGUCUUCUCUAUCUAAUCUUGCAUACUUCUACCUUUUUUUUAAUUAUUUAGAAUGGUCUACUGACGAGAAUCGUACGACAUAGUUGACUCCACCAGGCUGUCUGUAGGAUGCGGCCAUGUCAGUCCCCAGGGGACCUUGAGUCUGGACACCAGUGAAUUGAUGUGGUGGCCACGCCUCCUGUACUGUGACUUCAUCUGAUAUUUGCAAGACUUUGCACAAGUCAAUUUAUAAGACUUGUACUUUCAUAUAUAUUUUUUUUGUGAAUUGCAUGUCAUGCUUUAGAAAAAGCAGUGGAAUAAAACUUGGUUUGUUUGUAAAAUCA